ACGAACGCUGGCGGCGUGCCUAAUACAUGCAAGUUGAGCGAUGAAGAUUGGUGCUUGCACCAAUUUGAAGAGCAGCGAACGGGUGAGUAACGCGUGGGGAAUCUGCCUUUGAGCGGGGGACAACAUUUGGAAACGAAUGCUAAUACCGCAUAACAACUUUAAACAUAAGUUUUAAGUUUGAAAGAUGCAAUUGCAUCACUCAAAGAUGAUCCCGCGUUGUAUUAGCUAGUUGGUGAGGUAAAGGCUCACCAAGGCGAUGAUACAUAGCCGACCUGAGAGGGUGAUCGGCCACAUUGGGACUGAGACACGGCCCAAACUCCUACGGGAGGCAGCAGUAGGGAAUCUUCGGCAAUGGACGAAAGUCUGACCGAGCAACGCCGCGUGAGUGAAGAAGGUUCUCGGAUCGUAAAACUCUGUUGGUAGAGAAGAACGUUGGUGAGAGUGGAAAGCUCAUCAAGUGACGGUAACUACCCAGAAAGGGACGGCUAACUACGUG
rnacentral:rRNA from 1 species